rnacentral:rRNA from 1 species
UACGGGGGGGGCAAGCGUUGUUCGGAAUUACUGGGCGUAAAGGGUUUGUAGGUGGCUUGCUAAGUCAGACGUGAAAUCCCUCAGCUUAACUGGGGAACUGCGUCUGAUACUGGCGAGCUUGAGUGCAGGAGAGGAACGCGGAAUUCCAGGUGUAGCGGUGAAAUGCGUAGAUAUCUGGAGGAAUACCGGUGGCGAAGGCGGCAUCCUGGACCAUUACUGACGCUGAGGCGCGAAAGCUAGGGGAGCAAACGGG